GUGUUGAUUUUGCAAUACAUAUACUAAAAUUGAAAUGAUACAAAGAUUAGCUUGGCCCCUGCGCAAGGAUGACAUGCAAAUUUGUGAAGCGUUCCCCACUUUU